CGAGUAGGUGGCCAUCUAAGUCAGACGUGAAAUCCCCGGCUUAACCUGGGAACUGCGUCUGAUACUGGACGGCUUGAGUAUGGGAGAGGGAUGUAGAAUUCCAGGUGUAGCGGUGAAAUGCGUAGAUAUCUGGAGGAAUACCGGUGGCGAAGGCGGCAUCCUGGACCAUUACUGACACUGAACCGCGAAAGCUAGGGAGCAAACG
rnacentral:rRNA from 1 species